UACGGAGGGAGCUAGCGUUGUUCGGAUUCAUUGGGCGUAAAGAGCGUGUAGGCGGCCAGGUAGGUCGGUUGUGAAAACUGGAGGCUCAACCUUCAGACGUCGAUCGAAACCAUCUGGCUAGAGUCCGGGAGAGGAGAGUGGAAUUCCUGGUGUAGCGGUGAAAUGCGCAGAUAUCAGGAAGAACACCCGUGGCGAAGGCGGCUCUCUGGGACGGUACUGACGCUGAGACGCGAAAGCGUGGGAGCGAACAGG
rnacentral:rRNA from 1 species